rnacentral:tRNA from 233 species
CGGAGCGUAGCGCAGCCUGGUAGCGCACCUGCUUCGGGAGCAGGGGGUCGGAGGUUCGAAUCCUCUCGCUCCGACCA